rnacentral:tRNA from 1 species
UCCCCAGUGGCUCAGAUGGUAAAGUGUCUGCCUACAAUGUGGGCAACCCAGGUUCGAUCCCUGGGUUGGGAA